CACUAAGAAGCUUUAUGGACAGCGCCAGCUUUUUAAGCUGGACAUAGGUGACCACCAACCACCCUUAGUGU
rnacentral:tRNA from 1 species